GUGGGGAAUAUUCCGCAAUGGACGAAGGUCUGACGGGGCAACGCCGCGUGAGUGAUGAAGGUUUUCGGACUGUAAAGCUCUGUUGUUUAGGACGAAAGUGCCUGUUGCAAAUAGUUACAGGUAUUGACGGUACUGAACGAGGAAGCCACGGCUAACUACGUGCCAGCAGCCGCGGUAAUACGUAGGUGGCAAGCGUUGUCCGGAAUUAUUGGGCGUAAAGAGCAUGUAGGCGGGAAUCUAAGUCUGUUGUGAAAAUGCGGGGCUCAACCCCGUAUUGCGAUGGAAACUGGGUUUCUUGAGUGCAGGAGAGGAAAGGGGAAUUCCCAGUGUAGCGGUGAAAUGCGUAGAUAUUGGGAGGAACACCAGUGGCGAAGGCGGCUUCCUGGCACAAUACUGACGCUCAUGUGCGAAAGCUAGGGCAGCGAACGGGAUUAGAUACCCGAGUAGUCC
rnacentral:rRNA from 1 species